AGCGCAAGCGAAGCUCUUGAUCGAAGCCCCGGUAAACGGCGGCCGUAACUAUAACGGUCCUAAGGUAGCGAAAUUCCUUGUCGGGUAAGUUCCGACCUGCACGAAUGGCGUAACGAUGGCGGCGCUGUCUCCACCCGAGACUCAGUGAAAUUGAAAUCGCUGUGAAGAUGCAGUGUAUCCGCGGCUAGACGGAAAGACCCCGUGAACCUUUACUGUAGCUUUGCACUGGACUUUGAGCCUGCUUGUGUAGGAUAGGUGGGAGGCUUUGAAGCGUGGACGCCAGUUCGCGUGGAGCCAUCCUUGAAAUACCACCCUGGCAUGCUUGAGGUUCUAACUCUGGUCCGUGAUCCGGAUCGAGGACAGUGUAUGGUGGGCAGUUUGACUGGGGCGGUCUCCUCCUAAAGAGUAACGGAGGAGUACGAAGGUGCGCUCAGACCGGUCGGAAAUCGGUCGUAGAGUAUAAAGGCAAAAGCGCGCUUGACUGCGAGACAGACACGUCGAGCAGGUACGAAAGUAGGUCUUAGUGAUCCGGUGGUUCUGUAUGGAAGGGCCAUCGCUCAACGGAUAAAAGGUACUCCGGGGAUAACAGGCUGAUACCGCCCAAGAGUUCAUAUCGACGGCGGUGUUUGGCACCUCGAUGUCGGCUCAUCACAUCCUGGGGCUGAAGCCGGUCCCAAGGGUAUGGCUGUUCGCCAUUUAAAGUGGUACGCGAGCUGGGUUUAGAACGUCGUGAGACAGUUCGGUCCCUAUCUGCCGUGGACGUUUGAGAUUUGAGAGGGGCUGCUCCUAGUACGAGAGGACCGGAGUGGACGAACCUCUGGUGUUCCGGUUGUCACGCCAGUGGCAUUGCCGGGUAGCUAUGUUCGGAAAAGAUAACCGCUGAAAGCAUCUAAGCGGGAAACUUGCCUCAAGAUGAGAUCUCACUGGGAACUUGAUUCCCCUGAAGGGCCGUCGAAGACUACGACGUUGAUAGGCUGGGUGUGUAAGCGUUGUGAGGCGUUGAGCUAACCAGUACUAAUUGCCCGUGAGGCUUGACCAU
rnacentral:rRNA from 1 species